GCUGAUAAAUAAAAUAUUGAACCUUCCUUCGGCACCAUCCCCAUCUCUCUCUCUCUCUCUCUCCCUUGCUCUCCCUAUCUUCCAGAGGAGGGCCAAGCUAAAAUGCUUGAAGUAUUCUUGGCUCCUUAAUUUAUCUUGGUACCACCCUCCUCAUUUUAUAAAGGCUGAUAUGGGGAGGGAAGAGUGGGUUACGGCUUGCUAACAUCAUUGCCGUCCUCGCACUCUCUCUCUAUAUAUCUCUCUCAAGGUUAGCAUGCCUUCUGGCACCUGACGGACCAGACUAAUGAAACUUGGACCGAUUAAAACUCAACUAACACGGCCCAACCGUCAAUAAUCAAUGUUCAUUUCCAUCAAAAAAAAAUAGUCAAUGUUCAUGAAGGCAAAGCCGGCGGAUGGCAAGGCCGAUGAGGGUGCUGGCCAGACGAGCAAUAGAGAGAAAAAUAAGGGGGCUCGAUUUUGAUGGUUUAUUUCUGGUGAUCCUUUGCCGGAUUCUAGCCAUUGGAGGGUUGAUCGAGAAGAGGAAGAAUGAGGGAGGAAACAGAUGGACUUUACCUUAGCUCCAUCAUCCUCCUCCCCAACGGCCUCCUCCUCAACCUCCUCCGCCGCUUCCUCCCUGAGCCGGGGGUGCUCGUACCGACAGGCGGUGGAGGUGGAUGAGGCGGCAGUGGGGAUGAGGUGACAGGGCAGCGCGGGCGGCCGGGGGCCGGGAUGCGGUGCCGGAGGCGCGACGAGCAGGGGGCCACAGGGGGUGGGGUGCGGGGGACUGGUCGGGUGCGUGAGGGCGACGGCGCGGGUGGGUGAGGGCGGCGAUGGAGGCGGCCAUGGGGGGUGCGGGUUUGCUGGGGGGCCAUGGGGCGGUGCGGGAGGGUGGGAGGAGGUGUGAACGGUCGGGGGGCGGUGCCGAAGGUGCGACAGGCGAGGUGUCGCCGGGAG
rnacentral:lncRNA from 1 species